UGGGAGCUUCACUUCGGCGCCCUCUGGCGGAGGACAGGAACUCCCCGCGUCCCCCGCCUCCGCCCCUGUGUUCAAAUAGGAGGUGUUGCGCGAAGGCAGUGGUGGAGAGGGAGGGGCAGGUGACUGGAGGCGAACAUCAACGCCCUUCUCUAGGGAGUGCCUAGGCUGAAGAGGAGCCAGGAGAGGCUCUUCCACAGGGCAAGCGAGAACCUAGGGAAGAAGAAAACAUCAAUAUCCCCGAGGAAUGGAGAUGUUUCUAUGGAAAAGCAAGGAAUUUCGGCUAUAACAGAUCUGGUGUUUCUUUAAAAAAAGAAAGGAAGAAAAAAGAAAGGAAGAAAGGAAGAAGUGGGGGGGGGGAAUCAAAAGAGAUCAAAGGCAGCGCUGCCAGGAGCAGAGAUAGGGCUCCGAACUAAAGGCGGACCAGGCAGGCUACAAAGUGCUUCUCGCCUCUCCCUCUCCCGGUCCUGCUGCAUCCAGGUCCGGCGUUCCCGUUGGAGGGAGGCGCUGUCCCAGCGUCACCUCCAAGCGAGAGAGGCAAGAGGGCCAAGCAUCUGCACAAGGGGAGAAAAGUCCCACCAUGCAGACGAAACAUCUUAAGGGAGUCCGGGUUCCCUGGAACCUGAGUCCAGCCGUUUGUCAAGAUCAGCAGCGGAGUAGAAAUGAUGUAUAAACAAACAUCAAAAUGCCCCACCUGUUGGUACCACCACCAUCAUCAUCAUCAUCAUCCAGUUCAUUACUUGCCUUUUCAGACAGGAAGGCUGUAAUCCUAGGUACGCUUACUAGGAACUAAAUCCCCUUGAACUCAGUGAACUGUACUUUCAAAUAAAUAUACUUGCACGAUA